ACACCUGAAGUGCUGCUGCUGGCUCAGGGCUGCGCAUUUCACUGGCUCCCGUCUGUGAUCACAGUGAACCCGCUGUCUGGAGAAGGGGAAGUGCAGCCAGACAGUGCCUGGCUGAUGUGGGUACGGGGUCUAACCUCUUGAGUUCAGUUUGAAACGAGGCAAAUAUCAAGGGCCAAAUCCUAGUGAAACCAUGAUGACAUGCCGAGCUUGCCAAGACAGUAGGGGCGAUGCGUUGAUGAAGAGGAGCAACAGGAUCUAGAAAAUGUCUUGGUCGGGCCUGUGGCCUGUGAAAACCAGGGAAGGGUCUGCUAGCUCAAAUGUGUCUCCCCAGGUCACAUUGCCCUGUGGUGCUGUGCAGAGUAGUAGACAGGGUUUUGCCCUUUCAUCCAGGCCAGAGUGCAGUGGUAGGAGCAUAUUUCAGUGCAUCCUCAAAUUCCUGGAUUUAAACCAUCCUUCUGCUUCAGUGUCCAGGGUAGCUGGGACUUCCACAGGCACGUGCCAUCAUGCUCAGCUACUUUUAAAUUUUUAUUCAUUUUUGUAGAGAUGAGGUCUUGCUAUGUUGCUUAGACUGGUCUCAUAGUUCUGUAUCUUGGUUGUGGUGGUGGUGAUUUUGUGAAUCUACACAUGCAGUAAAAUGACACAGAAAUAAAACUAUACACACACAGUGAACA
rnacentral:lncRNA from 13 species